ACUUGAUGAACGUUCGCAUAAUGUUGAUAGAAAACGUUCUUAGAACAAUAUACUCAGAACAUCCAUAUAAUGUAAGUAUUUAUGUUCUCAUAAUAUAUCACGCACGGACAUUUCAGGACUCGCAUUUUGAGCUGAAUCAGACUCUCAAUUCCUGACGCCACUGAAUCGAAUCUUUUUGGAAUCGUUUACUGUCUUGAUUCUCGAGUCUGUUCUUUCCCCUCCCCCACUGCCUCACUGCAGCUCUUCUCUUGCGCGCGCAGCAGCAGAGAGCGUCCGUUAUUUUCUGAGGCUGAGAAAACGCUCGAAUUCAUAAUACUAUUUUAAAUAACAUAUAUGCCAGAACAUAACAUCAGAAUUUCAAAGUUGUAUAUUUUUUUUAUUCUUUUUCCAAAGUGUUUAUUUUUUAGCCUGACGUUGCGAGCCGUUCCUUCCCGCUCCUGCUCCAUUCAAAUCUUGCGCGCGCUGACAGGGUCCGGUAUUUUCAUCAUAGAGAGAUUUACACAUAGGAUUUACAUCAUAAGAAGGCCGCUGCCUUUCAGUUAUUGCGCGCGCUGACAGCGUCCUGUAUUUUCAGAGAUGCUUCAAAUACAGCACUGAAGGAAGAACUGCACCUCAUUCUUGCAAGGCAGACAAGGACAGAAAAAGGCCAGGUGAUAAAUGCUGCUAUUCUUCUCUAAUACUGUUGCUCUUUAAAGAACAUGGUCAUCAAUCAGAAUCCUCCAUUCCCAGCUCCAACCAGUCAUCUGAAGGACUGCGGCGAUGGAAACCCUUUGAACCACAAGUGGCAGUUUCCACCGGAUGAGAAAGGACAUGGCAUGGGAAAAGGUUCGCCCACUGGACCGAGGAGGCAAGACGCAUGACUGAAGGGACAUUACGACCUCUUUACAGGAGUUUUCCAGGAUUAACACAUGACUUGCCACAACAUGUUGUUGCUGAGAGGAACCGAAUGUUGUCCAACCAGGCUAUGGUGGACUUAAUUGUGGCAAGAGGAACCGAUAACCACAUUCAGUCCAUCAUCAAUGGACAAAAAAAAUCAAAAUGGCUUGACACUUUUUCCAAGUGUUCCAUCAAGAAAGUGCCUGUGCUCAUGACUGCGAAUGUCACGAGCCAUAGCAGGCCACCAGAACCGUUGUUUGACCAAAAAACUGGUGCGAUUAACCCCUGGAUCGGAGCUGAUCUUCUGUCGGAGAACAUCUCCAAGAUGCUUCGCAUGCUACUAUGACUAGUAAGUCAAACCUCAAAUCACAGUCUGUGUUCUGCCCACUUAAUUGAUAGAAAUGUGAGUGUAGUACAGUCUAUAGAAACUGUGUCUAUUCCCCAAAUAGUGAGGUUUAACAAGAAAAAUAAAGGAUCUAGAAAAAAUCUGAUCGUGAUCAAACCAGAAAUUCACAAAAUUACUGAACAGAAACAAUUUCUAAUGCUAAUGCUACUAAACAUUAGAUCACUAACACCUAAGGCGGUUAUUAUAAAUGAAAUGAUCACAGAUAAUAGUCUUGAUUUAAUUUGCCUUACUAAAACAUGGCUAAUGAUUAACCAAAUGAUUAUUUUGGUCUUAAUGAGUCUUGUCCACCUGGCUACUGUUAUAAAAAUAAAUGCCAUCUGAUUGGCCGUGGUGUUGCAACAAUCUAUAGAGAUAAUCUUAAUGUUACUCAGAAAACAAACUAUAGGUUUAAUUCAUUUGAAAUUCUUAUGCUAAAUGUUACACUCUCAGAUAUAAGUAAAAAGUCACUACUAUCUCUUGCUUUAGCUACCGUUUAUAGACCUCCAGGGCCUUAUGCUGAUUUCCUAAAAGAGUUUGCAGACUUUCUCUCAGACCUAUUGGUCAACGUCGAUAAAGUGCUGAUUGUUGGAGAUUUUAACAUUCAUGUUGACAAUACAAAUGAUACGUUAGGGGCUGCGUUUACUGAUUUACUAAACUCCUUUGGGGUCAAACAAAACGUCACUGGACCCACUCACCGUUUUAAUCAUACACUAGAUUUAAUGAUAUCACAUGGAAUCAAUCCAACCGAUAUAGAAAUUCUACCGCAAAGUGAUGACUUCUCUGAUCACUACCUUGUAACAUGCGUACUGCAUACUGAUGAUAUUUGUCAAAUUGCGCAAUAUCGACUAGGCAGAACAAUUCUCCCGACAACUAUAGAUAAAUUCACAAAUAACCUGCCUGAUCUGUCUCAGCUGCUCAUCGUACCUAAACACACAAAUGAUCUCGAGAAAAUGACUAGCAGCAUGUGCACCAUUUUCACUAGUACAUUAGACACUGUUGCACCGAUGAGAUUAAAAAAGGUUAGAGAGAAAAAUACUGUACCUUGGUACAACAGUAUUACUCGCGCUAUCAAAAAAGAAACUCGCAAUUUAGAACGCAAAUGGAGACAAACUCGUUUAGAGGUCUUCAGAAUCGCGUGGAAAGACAGCUCGUCCCGUUAUAGAAAGACUCUAAAAGCAGCCAGGGCUGAGCAUCUCCGCAAACUCAUAGAAAAUAACCAAAACAAUCCACGGUUCGUGUUUAGUACAGUGGCUAGAUUAACAAAUAAACAGACAUCACCUGAACAAAACAUUUCAUUGCAAUUUAGUA